rnacentral:rRNA from 1 species
AUUGAACGCUGGCGGCAUGCCUUACACAUGCAAGUCGAACGGCAGCACGGGAGCAAUCCUGGUGGCGAGUGGCGAACGGGUGAGUAAUAUAUCGGAACGUGCCCAGUCGUGGGGGAUAACGUAGCGAAAGCUACGCUAAUACCGCAUACGAUCUAUGGAUGAAAGCGGGGGAUCGCAAGACCUCGCGCGAUUGGAGCGGCCGAUAUCAGAUUAGGUAGUUGGUGAGGUAAAGGCUCACCAAGCCGACGAUCUGUAGCUGGUCUGAGAGGACGACCAGCCACACUGGGACUGAGACACGGCCCAGACUCCUACGGGAGGCAGCAGUGGGGAAUUUUUGGGACAAUGGGCGCAAGCCUGAUCCAGCAAUGCCGCGUGCAGGAUGAAGGCCUUCGGUUGUAACUGCUUUAUACUAGGAAGAAAC